AAUCAAUGAUGAGGACACAUUCUCAAAAGAUCCUUAAAUCUCUCUCUUGCAUCAUACAAUGUCUCAAGCUCAAAUUGAGCAAAAUAAGAGAAAUCAUUCUUCAACU
rfam:Gossypium raimondii chromosome 2, whole genome shotgun sequence.